UGAACAUUCCAGGCUUCUCAUCCCACAGGGGGCUCCGGGCCACCAGCCCCUCCUGAGAUGAAGCUACACGUGGCGACCCUCUGCAUGCUAACACUGGUGUGCCUGCCGGAACUUUCCACACUUUACCCCACGUUACCCCCACGGCUGAUGUACAGUUAAGACUCAGCCACCGUGCGGCUCCAGGAGUUUGGGCAAAGCCAACGCACACGGCCCUUGGAGAUUUCCCUGCUUCUCUCAAGAGCCAGCAUCACAU